rnacentral:lncRNA from 1 species
UGUGACAGCUCUAGACAUGCUAUGAUUACCGUUGACGCAUUUAUGUUAAUGACCAUUUUCUCCAAGGUUUUGAUCAUUGUGGCUAAUGUCAAUCUGAAAAAUAAGUACGGAAAAUGUCUCCGAAAAUAAAUUUCCUCGGGAUUGUGUUCGUUUCUUGCAUCAGAUAUGCGGCGAUGAUGUUUCCAUCACAUGAAUAUGGGACAUUCCGCUGUGCCAAUAGAGGUUAAAUCUGUUGAUGUGACAACGUCAUUGUCCGGAUGUACAAAUGUUAGUGUAUCAUUUACUGCGAUGGAAAACGUUACUGCUUUGUGGACUGUGAAUGAAGGCUUUCUACCAAGAGAUUUAAAUGGACAGUCAACGACAAACGUUUAUAAGACUGGCAAAGGAAAGGUAGCCUUCUAGUAUGUUUACCAACAGAUAUGAAAUUUGACUCUAUCCGAUCUUCAUUUGAUUUGUGAGAUGCAUUCGUUUGAAUUACAUCUAAGUCUGCAAGUUUCGCAUAAUAUGACAAGUACCCAGGAGAAUGUGAAGCAGUAUGUUCUGAUGGUUCCUCAGAGCAAUGAAAUUGGAAUAAGUUCUCGUGGCGAAGCGAGAUUCCACGUAAUGGUUGACAUUUCCGGUACGAAAUUUUCAUUUGGGAUGCUUCAGGCGGAAGCUACAUUACUGUAUGGUACAAUAGCUCUGCAUGACUCUGCAUUUUCAUUUCUGCCAGACAACAAAAACAAGAUGUUGAGACUGCGAAAGAUUGCUGAAACUGGAACUGAAUACCAUACCGACGUCGUGAUAAAGUCUGCCAAUUUACAGAAAAGUAAAACAAUGAUUUCCGUAUCUGUUGCGUGCAGUCAACCUCAAAGCAUUGUUCAAAGACUCGACAUGAAACACGUGACUUACCUCAAGAGGAACCAAGUCGGCUUUUCUGCGAGCCAAAAGCACCCUGUUGCGGUUUUAGGAGAACAAAAACAAGAAUUGUUAAAUGUAGCAAAAAAUGGUAAUGUCUUACUCAGAUGCAGGGCCUUCGGGUUCCCACGACCGAACAUUACACUUCACAAAAAAGAAGGCAAUAAAAUCCGUUCCUCACACCGUUCCGUCAUAUACAACAUCUCUUGAAUUUGAGAAGACUACGGUUUUUCAAAUACUGAAUGCAACUGCGUCAGAUUCUGGACAUUAUAUCUGCAAAACUUCAAACGGGUUGUCGUCUGCUGAGAAGACAUAUACGGUGAAAGUUCAAUAACAUUUCUGUUUGCAGAAAAAAUAUAAAUCCAUCGAAAAGGAAGCGAUUAUCAUGACCAGUGUUACUUCAGUUCAUGUAAAAUACUUGUGUAUUAAUUUUGUUUAUUCUAAUGUUGACAAGAAAUACAAAUAAUUUUCCCCUCGG